rnacentral:rRNA from 1 species
GCCAGCAGCUAUAUCGCCCUGCAACUCAAAACCGGCAGCCCACCGAACUGUGUGAGCCUGGCCAGUACCUGGAUGGGAGACCUCCUGGGAAAGCUAAGGCUGCUGCUGGAA